UUUUACUUCACUCUGCUUUGGCUGUUGUGUAUUUAUUUGAGUUCACCUGCUUUCCAUUUUGUCUUUUGAAACCUGUUGAGGGAGGUGCAUGCAAAUUGUUCCUUCCUUAAAAUAAUGCCGUAUGCAGCUCUCAUGUCAUUGAUGACGGAGCAACUGGGCUUCUAAUAUAUCUUGAAAACAUUCAGAGCAGAAAGCAGUGGAUGAAGUGUUAAUAACAUAAUGGAAAAUAUGAUUUCCUGGAGUCUGUUCUUCAUAGUUACUAUUAAUGGAGUUUGGAGUGAAAUCAAACUGGAACAGUCUCCCUCCGAGGUGAAGAAACCUGGAGAGAAAGUGAAGAUGUCGUGUAUCACGUCAGGUUAUAGUAUGACAAGCUACAACAUUCACUGGAUACGACAGAGGCCAGGAAAUGCUCUGGAGUGGAUUGGGUGGAUGAACACAGGCAGCAACUCUGCUACCUUCAGCAGCUCCUUCCAAAGCCGUUUCAUCAUGACUGAAGAUGUGCCCAAGAGCACUCAGUACCUCGAGGUCACGAGCCUGACAGCAGAAGACUCAGCUGUUUACUUCUGUGCUCGACACACAGUGACUGAAGACAGCAGAGCAGCUGAACAAAAACAUCCACAGACAACAAACAGCAACUUGGGGACAUUUGGCUUUUCUCACAAACUGCAAAAGUACUUUAAUCUAUUUAAUAUCUUCACGAUGUCAAUAAUUGCUUUUUAAAACACAUGAAGAAUAAACAAAUGAAUUCAAAACAGGAUAAGAAUUUAUUCAUAACAUAAAUGCAAUAAAUACACCAUAUUGUUU